rnacentral:misc_RNA from 1 species
AGUGCAUGCAGCAUACAAAUUUGAAGGCCACAGGGGAGACAUUGUCACAAGGAAAUGGUGUUGGCGAAAUGAUACUUGCUAACAUACCAAGGUACAGGGAUGUUCUGCCUGGAUUGGACGGCUGGCUGGCUAGCAAAGUUGCAACUUGGCAGAACCUGGAAGGGCACUCUGUGCAGUGGUUUUGUGUUGUCAGCAUAGAUCGAAAAGGCAUGAUGGCGGAUAUUACUUCAGCAUUGGCAGCUGUAGGCGUCACCAUAUGUUCUUGUGCGGCUGAGACGGAUAGAGAAAAGGGGAUUGGUGUCGCGCUAUUUCAUAUUGAAGCCGACCUAGAGAGCUUGGUUGGUGCAAGUUUGAAGAUUGACAUGAUCCUAGGUGUUUUGGGAUGGUCCACGGGCUGCAGUUGGUCAGAGAACAAACAGUUUCUAGAAUGCUAAUCUGGUGGCCUGGUGAAGAUCGAGUACUUGCCCAGCUGUUGAAAGCUUGGGGAAGAAAGUUUUGUUCAGUGAAGCCUGACUUCUUCUUUUCUUCUCGUUGUCAAUUUUUUUUCUCCUCCCACCUUCUUGACAAGUAUAGAAGCAAACAACAUUAGGUUAUAUGGUGUCGGGCGACUGUAUAUAUAAAGGAAGAGUAGCAACCAGUUAUACUUGUAAAGGAAUUUUCAACUAUACGAACUCCAACAAAAGUAUGUUACAG